CCUGCUGUACGACCAGCAGUAGCCUAGGAAGACAUGCGUCACUGGCAACGGUGGGGUGUGAAGCUCUUCUGACAAUGUAGCCCCCGGAUGUUUCGGGCAGGUCUUUUCCGUGAGGGAUCGACUUGGAGACUCCUAGCAGCGAUGGGGUUGAGGAG
rfam:Burkholderia sp. OLGA172 chromosome 1, complete sequence.